rnacentral:rRNA from 1 species
UACGUAGGGACCAAGCGUUGUUCGGAUUUACUGGGCGUAAAGGGCGCGUAGGCGGCGUGGUAAGUCACUUGUGAAAUCUCUGAGCUUAACUCAGAACGGUCAAGUGAUACUGCUGUGCUAGAGUGCGGAAGGGGCAAUCGGAAUUCUUGGUGUAGCGGUGAAAUGCGUAGAUAUCAAGAGGAACACCUGAGGUGAAGACGGGUUGCUGGGCUGACACUGACGCUGAGACGCGAAAGCGUGGGGAGCGAACAGG